rnacentral:rRNA from 1 species
UGCAAGUCGAACGGCAGCGCGGGGCAACCUGGCGGCGAGUGGCGAACGGGUGAGUAAUAUAUCGGAACGUACCCUGGAGUGGGGGAUAACGUAGCGAAAGUUACGCUAAUACCGCAUACGAUCUAAGGAUGAAAGUGGGGGAUCGCAAGGCCUCGUGCUCCUGGAGCGGCCGAUAUCUGAUUAGCUAGUUGGUAGGGUAAAAGCCUACCAAGGCAUCGAUCAGUAGCUGGUCUGAGAGGACGACCAGCCACACUGGAACUGAGACACGGUCCAGACUCCUACGGGAGGCAGCAGUGGGGAAUUUUGGACAAUGGGCGCAAGCCUGAUCCAGCAAUGCCGCGUGAGUGAAGAAGGCCUUCGGGUUGUAAAGCUCUUUUGUCAGGGAAGAAACGGGUCUUUCUAAUACAGAGAUCUAAUGACGGUACCUGAAGAAUAAGCACCGGCUAACUACGUGCCAGCAGCCGCGGUAAUACGUAGGGUGCAAGCGUUAAUCGGAAUUACUGGGCGUAAAGCGUGCGCAGGCGGUUUUGUAAGACUGUCGUGAAAUCCCCGGGCUCAACCUGGGAAUGGCGAUGGUGACUGCAAGGCUAGAGUUUGGCAGAGGGGGGUAGAAUUCCACGUGUAGCAGUGAAAUGCGUAGAUAUGUGGAGGAACACCGAUGGCGAAGGCAGCCCCCUGGGUCAAAACUGACGCUCAUGCACGAAAGCGUGGGGAGCAAACAGGAUUAG